rnacentral:rRNA from 1 species
UUUUUGGAGAGUUUGAUCCUGGCUCAGAGUGAACGCUGGCGACGUGGUUAAGACAUGCAAGUCGAGCGGUAUUGAAUCUUGUAGCAAUACGAGAGGAGAGAGAGCGGCGAACGGGUGCGUAACA